rnacentral:rRNA from 1 species
AGUUCGUGGAGUGAUCUGUCUGCUUAAUUGCGUUUCACAUAAACGAGUAUAUAUUGAAUGCUUUGUUUGCACACAAAGUUGUUGCAUUGUUUUUUAACUUUGCACCUUUGUUGUUGCACGGCAUUCUUUGAAAUAUACUCAGAAGGCAACGAACGUGACCGCAACAUCUUGUUGCAUAAUCUUAUUUAUGCUAACUAGAUGGACCGCUGGCUCUUUUCUAAACAGAGGAAGGUUGCGGCAAUAACAGG